CGGAGGAAAAGAAACCANCAGGGAUUGCCCUAGUAACGGCGAGUGAAGCGGCAACAGCUCAAAUUUGAAAUCUGGCUCUUUUAGAGUCCGAGUUGUAAUUUGCAGAGGGCGCUUUGGCUUUGGCAGCGGUCCAAGUUCCUUGGAACAGGACGUCACAGAGGGUGAGAAUCCCGUACGUGGUCGCUGGCUAUUGCCGUGUAAAGCCCCUUCGACGAGUCGAGUUGUUUGGGAAUGCAGCUCUAAAUGGGAGGUACAUUUCUUCUAAAGCUAAAUAUUGGCCAGAGACCGAUAGCGCACAAGUAGAGUGAUCGAAAGAUGAAAAGCACUUUGGAAAGAGAGUCAAACAGCACGUGAAAUUGUUGAAAGGGAAGCGCUUGCAGCCAGACUUGCUUACAGUUGCUCAUCCGGGUUUCUACCCGGUGCACUCUUCUGUAGGCAGGCCAGCAUCAGUUUGGGCGGUAGGAUAAAGGUCUCUGUCACGUACCUCCUUUCGGGGAGGCCUUAUAGGGGAGACGACAUACUACCAGCCUGGACUGAGGUCCGCGCAUCUGCUAGGAUGCUGGCGUAAUGGCUGUAAGCGGCCCGUCUUGAAACACGGACCAAGGAGUCUAACAUCUAUGCGAGUGUUUGGGUGUCAAGCCCGAGCGCGUAAUGAAAGUGAACGGAGGUGGGAACCCGCAAGGGUGCACCAUCGACCGAUCCUGAUGUCUUCGGAAGGAUUUGAGUAAGAGCAUGGCUGUUGGGACCCGAAAGAUGGUGAACUAUGCUUGAAUAGGGUGAAGCCAGAGGAAACUCUGGUGGAGGCUCGCAGCGGUUCUGACGUGCAAAUCGAUCGUCAAAUUUGGGCAUAGGGGCGAAAGACUAAUCGAACUAUCUAGUAGCUGGUUCCUGCCGAAGUUUCCCUCAGGAUAGCAGUAACGUAUUCAGUUUUAUGAGGUAAAGCGAAUGAUUAGAGGCCUGGGGGUUGAAACAACCUUCACCUAUUCUCAAACUUUAAAUAUGUAAGAAGUCCUUGUUACUUAAUUGAACGUGGACAGUUGAAUGAAACGUUAUUAGUGGGCCAUUUUUGGUAAGCAGAACUGGCGAUGCGGGAUGAACCGAACGAGGGGUUAAAGUGCCGGAAUAUACGCUCAUCAGACACCACAAAAGGUGUUGGUUCAUCUAGACAGCAGGACGGUGGCCAUGGAAGUCGGAAUCCGCUAAGGAGUGUGUAACAACUCACCUGCCGAAUGAACUAGCCCUGAAAAUGGAUGGCGCUCAAGCGUGUUACUUAUACCCCUCCGCUGGGGCAAAAUUUACGCCCCAGCGAGUAGGCAGGCGUGGAGGUCCGUGAC
rnacentral:rRNA from 1 species